AGUUGCUGAGAAACAGCCCAGCUGAGGUUGGAGGGGAUGCAUCUAGUUCAUUCAAAGACUGUCCUUGUGUGUUUACCAUAUAUCAGGGAUUGGACUGGGAGCUAGAACCACAGCCGUGAAUCAUACAGUUUCCAUCUGUACAGACGGGGUUACGACAUAUGUGGGUGGGUCCAUGCUUCUGGCAACCCGGGAAAGGGACAGCUGGGGAGCGCCACAAGUAAGGAUGAGAUGCUGCUCCCGGCCAGGUGAUUUGGGUCGCAAGAAACAGCUGGAGAACAUUCUUCCUUGAUAAUCUCCAGAAAUCCUCUCAAAGACAAGACACCAAGGCCAGACCAGCGCACAGGCCAACAAGAUUUGCCCUGAGUGGGUGAAGAGUGGGCCUGCACUACUUCAAGUCUCUGGAAGAAGACAAGUGAUUGGCAGCAUCCACCGCCCCUGUGAAUGCUGUCUUCACGUCUGUUAUUUACGAAUAUGCUCCGAGUGACUUGUGAACCACCCAAAGAUGAAAUCCAGAGGUGGAUCCAAGAAGAAAAAGCCACAGUCCUACUGUUGCCUCACUUAUGACACAAACAAUAUUGUCUAGUGUGUGAUGUUUGUCCUCAGUCUCUUCUCCUUCCCCUUUCUGAGUCUCCCUGUAAAUAUCCAGCUAAUCUCAGCACACUAGGAGUCACCAGCCUUCCAAAUGCCCUCGUCAGGCACACCCUUGAGACCUACUCUCUGCAGGCAGCUCCUAAGUCCCUCCUCUUCCCCAUCUGUGUCCUAUCAACACGGAUGCAGAGGGAGCAUCAGGUCCUAAGCAUACAGAUCCCCCCCUUUCCCACAGCAAUUUCUGAUUUAACCUAUAAACUGAGGGGCAGGGGGAGAGACGCUUUUCUGUACUCUUUAAUUUCCAGUAUGUAAUAAAUUUUGCCUGUUUAAAUUAAUCCUUUAAUAAAUGAACAAAUGACCAAAUGAAUCUUCAGGACAUGCAACAAUACCUUUUUAUUAAAACUCAAUUUGGAAUCUAUGUAAUAGCAGAGAAAGAGAAAGAAUGAAAGAAAGUGAAAGAAAAGGAAAAAAGAGAGACAGAAGCCAGAAAACAACAAUGGCAGUGAGCAUCUGGUGGUCCAGGCACCAGCCUGGAUGCUGGCGCUAUGAGGAAGGCUCUUCUCCCAGGACAAGCAAGGCGAAUUCGUGGUGGGGAGAGGGAAAAAGCAGCAUAAGACAUCGUAAUGUUUCCGCACCUGUGUUUAUGUCAGUUAGAACUUGCCUUUGUGAAGAAUGAUGACACCACCAACAGACAAGUUUCUGGGAUGAGACAAUUGCCCCAAAGAUUCAUUGUUUUAGCUGUGGCGGGUAUCAGUUUUAUUUGUCCCCUGACAUCUUGCACUACCUUGGGACUAAGGCACCAUGGGUGGCCUUGACUCACCUGAUGACAUAAUGCCUAGAGGAGUUCCCUCCAAUAAAGCCCUGUCACCCAAUUCACUUUUGGCUUACAGUCAUCAUUGCCGGUUUACAUGUAAGUAUGUGUCCUGGGUCUGGGGGAAUAAUUCCCGAUUUCAAAUCCUAUGUCUUGUUGCCAUACCAUAAGUCAGGCCAUGUG